GGCGAUCGCUGUUUGCUGAAGCUCAUUAAAACAGCAAUUACACCGCUGACACCAGCACCGCUGCACCACCGCGCCUCAGAGGAACAAAUUUCAACCGUUAAAGGUUAUUGACACAAGUCGAGUGCUUCAAUUCAGCACAGAGCAGAUGGUCGUGAUGGUGCAGUAGUUUUUAUUCCUCUUGCAAUCAAGUGACUGUAUUUUAGUUUCCUCUGGACGUGUUUCUCUACCCUCUGUGUUUCAUAUUUUGCCAUUUUUUUUUAUUGAUUUUAUCGUCUUGAUCAAACUUUUUGAUGACAUUUUCUAUUUCUAGACUUUUUUUUAUUACUCCAUGGAGCUCUUUGCCAUAUCUUACAUAUUACUGUGGGGGUUUUUUUCUUACUGUUCCAACAAAUUGGCCCUGGUGGGAGUCAUAAAGAUAAAGUUGUUUGGUUGUUUGAAUCUGAAGCACAGAGGGCUGCAGAGAUGUUUAUAGUGCAGAAAUCUCAACAUGAUUGUGUUGCUUUUUUGAAGGAAUCCUAAUACAUCUGAGAAUAUUUUUUUAUUUUCCACAAUCUCAAGAUGUUUUAGCCAUUUUUCACCAAACGUUAUUUUCUCCUUGUCAGUAGAGACGUUGGAUUGUCUCUCUCUUUUUUCUGCAGAUUUUGCUCUCCUCCACGCUUUAAAAGAGGCUUUUUCUGCAGCUCGACCCUGUGACGGACUGCAGGUAAUGACGCUGUUGACAGCUUACAAGGAUACAAUGCGGAUAUUUCUCACAAUGUGUCAAAACGUUUGGCGGAGCCCCCUUUUCUCUCUCUCUCUGGGAACAGCGCGCACCUAAGAAAACACCCGCUGCCCGCUGCUGCCUCUGAAUUGCAGUCGGAGUUUGGAUUAGGCACAGCUGAAGAAGACAUCGGCCUGUAGCUGCUGGGAGGAUCAAAGGCCGAGAACAACGUCCACGAUGGGAAAACCUGCUAAUCGAGCCGCAGAUGAUCGAGGCUGCAGUUCGAUCGGAGCAGCACAUGGUGUCACCGGGGACGCGCUCUGGCGCUCCGAUGGCGCAGCCGGUGCGCGCAGGCCUGGGAGACGAGGCAGAGUCCCAGAGGUCAAGCAAGGCUUUGUGUCGUGAGGGGAGACCAGCAGACCCCAACACCAUCAACAAACAAAACCCUCUCCUGUCAAUACGCGACAAACAAGACUCGAGUGCUGCUGGCAUCACGUCACCUGCUUUAAUAGCUCUGUGCUCUAUGUGAUGACGAAACAAGUGAUGAUGAAUAAAGUCCUAAUUAUACCUCAUCAUUCCUGUGGGCUUUGCACUCAGGCCUGUUGCACAAGUUUCCAUGUCACUAGUGUAUGACCAGGAGAGGAGAGGAGAGGAGAGGAGAGGAGAGAACUUUGAACUCAAUUUUCUGACAUUUUUUCAAAAUAUUCUUACAUGUUUUCUAAAAGUUUUUUCUAAAGUUCUGACACAUUCCUAAAAGUUCUGACACAUUCCUAAAAGUUCUGACUUUUUUUCCUAAAAGUUCAGAGGCUUUGUCCUCACUGCUGGGGCCCUCCUGCGUGUCAUCCUGAAAUGUAUUCUCAGAGUUGGUUUUCUAUAGUUCUGACAUCUAUUUUUCCUAAAAAUUCUCACAUUUUUUUUUUUUUAGAAAUUCUCAUGUUUUUUUCUAAAAAAUCACAGGAGAAGGGAAGGUAGAGCUUCACACUCAUUUUUUUUUAUGUUUUCUGAAAUUCAGAUAUUUUUACAAAAAAUAAGCAUAUUUUUUCUACAAAUUAUAAAAAAAAUUCUAAAAGUAAAAAAAUGUCAAAGUUCUGAAAAUUUUGCAAAAAAUCUGACAAUUGUCCAAAAGUUCUGACAUU
ensembl:lncRNA